rnacentral:rRNA from 1 species
AAUGAACGCUGGCGGCGUGCCUAACACAUGCAAGUCGGAUGUGCCCGCAAGGGUGCAUGGCAGACGGGUGAGUAACGCGUGGGGAAUCUACCUUUUAGUGGGGAAUAACGCUCCGAAAGGAGUGGUAAUACCGCAUGUGACCAUUGGCUGGGAUGCUGAUGGUGAAACCCUGGGACCUUCGGGCCAGGGGCUAGAAGAGGAUCCUGCGUCUGAUUAGCUAGUUGGCGGGGUAACGGCCCACCAAGGCGACGAUCAGUAGCCGGCCUGAGAGGGUGAUCGGCCACACUGGAACUGAGACACGGUCCAGACUCCUACGGGAGGCAGCAGUGGGGAAUUUUGCGCAAUGGACGAAAGUCUGACGCAGCAACGCCGCGUGGGUGAUGAAGGUCUUCGGAUUGUAAACUCCUGUUAGGGGGGACGAAGGGAUGUCGGCAAACAGCCGGCAAACUUGACGGUACCCCCAGAGGAAGCCCCGGCUAACUCUGUGCCAGCAGCCGCGGUAA